rnacentral:rRNA from 1 species
GUGGGGAAUCUUGCGCAAUGGCCGAAAGGCUGACGCAGCGACGCCGCGUGUGGGAGGACGCCUUUCGGGGUGUAAACCACUGUUGCCCGGGACGAACAUCCCUUUUCGAGGGGACUGACGGUACCGGGUGAGGAAGCACCGGCUAACUCCGUGCCAGCAGCCGCGGUAAUACGGAGGGUGCGAGCGUUGUCCGGAAUCAUUGGGCGUAAAGGGCGCGUAGGUGGCGGGACAAGCGUGCGGUGAAAGCCUGGGGCUCAACCCCGGGUCGGCCGUGCGAACUGUUUUGCUUGAGCACUGUAGAGGCAGGCGGAAUUCCGGGUGUAGCGGUGGAAUGCGUAGAGAUCCGGAAGAACACCGGUGGCGAAGGCGGCCUGCUGGGCAGUAGCUGACACUGAGGCGCGACAGCGUGGGGAGCAAACAGGAUUAGAAACCCCAGUAGUCC